rnacentral:rRNA from 1 species
UACGUAGGUGGCAAGCGUUGUUCGGAAUUAUUGGGCGUAAAGGGCGCGUAGGCGGCAUGUUAAGUCGGCUGUGAAAGCCUGGGGCUCAACCCCAGAGGGUCGGCCGAUACUGGCAAGCUAGAGUACGGAAGAGGUAGCUGGAAUUCCCGGUGUAGCGGUGAAAUGCGCAGAUAUCAGGAAGAACACCAGCGGCGAAGGCGGCACUCUGGGCUGGAAUUGACGCUGAGGAGCGAAAGUGUGGGUAGCAAACAGG